GAACGCUUCUUUCUCCACCGGAGCUUGCUCCACCGNGAAAAAGAGGAGUGGCGAACGGGUGAGUAACACGUGGGUAACCUGCCCAUCAGAAGGGGAUAACACUUGGAAACAGGUGCUAAUACCGUAUAACAAUCAAAACCGCAUGGUUUUGAUUUGAAAGGCGCUUUCGGGUGUCGCUGAUGGAUGGACCCGCGGUGCAUUAGCUAGUUGGUGAGGUAACGGCUCACCAAGGCCACGAUGCAUAGCCGACCUGAGAGGGUGAUCGGCCACAUUGGGACUGAGACACGGCCCAAACUCCUACGGGAGGCAGCAGUAGGGAAUCUUCGGCAAUGGACGAAAGUCUGACCGAGCAACGCCGCGUGAGUGAAGAAGGUUUUCGGAUCGUAAAACUCUGUUGUUAGAGAAGAACAAGGAUGAGAGUAACUGUUCAUCCCUUGACGGUAUCUAACCAGAAAGCCACGGCUAACUACGUGCCAGCAGCCGCGGUAAUACGUAGGUGGCAAGCGUUGUCCGGAUUUAUUGGGCGUAAAGCGAGCGCAGGCGGUUUCUUAAGUCUGAUGUGAAAGCCCCCGGCUCAACCGGGGAGGGUCAUUGGAAACUGGGAGACUUGAGUGCAGAAGAGGAGAGUGGAAUUCCAUGUGUAGCGGUGAAAUGCGUAGAUAUAUGGAGGAACACCAGUGGCGAAGGCGGCUCUCUGGUCU
rnacentral:rRNA from 1 species